rnacentral:misc_RNA from 1 species
GAUGAAGAACGUAGCGAAAUGCGAUAAGUAGUGUGAAUUGCAGAAUUCAGUGAAUCAUCGAAUCUUUGAACGCACAUUGCGCCCGCCAGUAUUCUGGCGGGCAUGCCUGUUCGAGCGUCAUUACAACCCUCAGGCCCCCGGGCCUGGCGUUGGGGAUCGGCGGAAGCCCCCUGCGGGCACAACGCCGUCCCCCAAAUACAGUGGCGGUCCCGCCGCAGCUUCCAUUGCGUAGUAGCUAACACCUCGCAACUGGAGAGCGGCGCGGCCACGCCGUAAAACACCCAACUUCUGAAUGUUGACCUCGAAUCAGGUAGGAAUACCCGCUGAACUUAAGCAUAUCAUAAGCGGAGGA